UGGCCACUGUCUAUUACAUGAGUUGAUAGGGGUUAUUCCCCAAACCACCCUCUUUAUAGUAGCUCUGAUAAUGCAGGAGCUACGAAGAUAGCAAUUAUUGCUGUAUUUUUCCGAGGGCAAAGGAAAGGAAAACAAGGAAGAGGGGAAGAAGAGUACACAGAGGAUGAGGAGAAAUACUGACACAAUUGACCUGAUUGGACAACACUUAUGAGUUUCAGGGAAGCAGGCUGGGAUAACUACAAGGCAACUCUCAAUUGUCUUUGAAAGUUGUUCAUGAUUUGGGGAGAUUCCUGGGGACUGGAAGAGAGCAGACAUCACUCCUAUCUUCAAGAAUGGUAAGAAUAAGGAGCUGGGGAACUGUAAUUGGGUCAGCUUCUACUCAAUUACUGUGAAGGUGAUGGAGCAAAUUUGUCUGGAAACCAUUUCCAGUCACCUACAGGACCAUAAGGUGAUUAGGAGGAGUCAGGAUGGGGAAACUGUGGUUAACCAUCCUGAUAGCCUUCUGUGAUAGCAAAUUUGGUGCCUAGCAGGUGGAGAAAAAUGAACUGACAAGAAUCUGAGAAGUUCAAAAAGGGGAAAUGUCAAGUUCUGUAUCUGGGGAAUAACAACUUCAUGCAUCAGGACCAUCUGGGGGCCAGAGGGUUUACACAGAUGGUUCUUUCUCUGCUCAG
ensembl:lncRNA